UACGUAGGGACCAAGCGUUGUUCGGAUUUACUGGGCGUAAAGGGCGCGUAGGCGGCUUAACAAGUCACUUGUGAAAUCUCCGGGCUUAACUCGGAACGGCCAAGUGAAACUGUCAAGCUAGAGUGCAGAAGGGGCAAUCGGAAUUCUUGGUGUAGCGGUGAAAUGCGUAGAUAUCAAGAGGAACACCUGAGGUGAAGACGGGUUGCUGGGCUGACACUGACGCUGAGGCGCGAAAGCCAGGGGAGCAAACGGG
rnacentral:ncRNA from 3 species